AUUGAACGCUGGCGGCAGGCCUAACACAUGCAAGUCGAACGGUAACAGGAAGCAGCUUGCUGCUUCGCUGACGAGUGGCGGACGGGUGAGUAAUUUCUGGGAAGCUGCCUGCUGGAGGGGGAUAACUACUGGAAACGGUAGCUAAUACCGCAUAAUGUCGCAAGACCAAAGAGGGGGACCUUCGGGCCUCUUGCCAUCUGAUGUGCCCAGAUGGGAUUAGCUUGUUGGUGGGGUAACGGCUCACCAAGGCGACGAUCCCUAGCUGGUCUGAGAGGAUGACCAGCCACACUGGGACUGAGACACGGUCCAGACUCCUACGGGAGGCAGCAGUGGGGAAUAUUGCACAAUGGGAGCAAGCCUGAUGCAGCCAUGCCGCGUGUAUGAAGAAGGCCUUCGGGUUGUAAAGUACUUUCAGCGGGGAGGAAGGGAGUAAAGUUAAUAACUUUGCUCAUUGACGUUACCAGAAGAAGAAGCACCGGCUAACUCCGUG
rnacentral:rRNA from 1 species